ACUCCAGUUGAUGGUGCUGGAGGACGCUGCUAUCGGGGUUCGCCUAAGCCAUGCAAGUCAGGGCAGCUAGUCUGCCCGGCGAACGGCUCAGUAACACGUGGGCAACCUACCCUGGAGUGGGGGAUAACCUCGGGAAACUGAGAGUAAUACCCCAUAGGGGAGAGGUACUGGAAGGUCCUCUCCCUGAAAGCCUUCGGGCGCUCCAGGAUGGGCCUGCGGCGGAUUAGGUAGUUGGUGGGGUAACGGCCCACCAAGCCUAAGAUCCGUACCGGCUGUGGGAGCAGGAGCCGGGAGAAGGGGACUGAGACAAGGCCCCUAGCCCUACGGGGUGCAGCAGGCGCGAAACCUCUGCAAUGCCCGAAAGGGUGACAGGGGGACCCCGAGUGGUAGCUUUGCUACCUUUUCUGGAGUGCAAAAAGCUCCAGGAAUAAGGGCUGGGCAAGACCCGUGCCAGCCGCCGCGGUAAUACGGGCAGCCCGAGUGGCGUCCACGCAUACUGGGCCUAAAGCGUCCGUAGCCGGUCUAGGGGAGCUCCUGGUGAAAUCGGCAGGCUUAACCUGUCGGCUGGCCAGGAGAACCACUAGACUAGGGACCGGGAGAGGCCGGAGGUAUUCCUGGGGUACCGGUAAAAUGGUAUAAUCCUAGGAGGACCUACGGUGGCGAAGGCGUCCGGCUAGAACGGGUCCGACGGUGAGGGACGAAGGCCAGGGGAGCAAACCGGAUUAGAUACCCGGGUAGUCCUGGCUGUAAAUGAUGCGGGCUUGGUGUUGCGUAACCCACGAGGUUGCGCAGUGCCGGAGGGAAGCCGUUAAGUCCGCCGCCUGGGGAGUACGCCCGCAAGGGUUAAACUUAAACCAAUUGGCGGGGGAGUACUACAAGGGGUGGAGGCUGCGGUUCAAUCGGACGCAACGCCGAGAAUGUUACCGGGGGCGACAGCAGGAUGAAGGUCCGUCUGAAGGGCGUACCAGACACGCUGAGAGGUGGUGCAUGGCCACCAUCAGCUCGUGCCGUGAGGUGUCCACUUAAGUGUGGCAACGAGCGAGACCCGUGCCUCUAGUUGCGACCUAGAUUCUCCGGGAUCUAGGGCACUCUAGAGGGACUGCCGGCGAUAAGUCGGAGGAAGGAGCGGGCGAUGGUAGGUCUGUAUGCCCCGAAUCUCCCGGGCUACACGCGGCCUACAAUGGUCGGGACAACGGGACGCGACCCCGAAAGGGGAAGCUAAUCCCUUAAACCCGGCCCCAGUUCGGAUUGAGGGUUGAAACUCACCCUCAUGAAGCUGGAAUCCCUAGUAAUCGCGGGUCACCAUCCCGCGGUGAAUACGUCCCUACUCCUUGUACACACCGCCCGUCAAGCCACCCGAGUGGGGUCUAGAUGAGGCGAGGUCCUAUGGGCCUUGACGAAUCUGGGCUCUGUGAGGGGGGCUAAGUCGUAACAAGGUAUCCGUAGGGGAACCUACGGAUAGAUCACCUCCU
rnacentral:rRNA from 20 species